GCGCCUCGGCCGCUCCCCCGCAGCACCCCCGGGACAGCGGCGCCCCGUCGGCCCCGCAGCAGCACCCGGGCCUCCCUCCCCGCCGCCCGGCCCGGGCUCUCCUGCCGCGGCUCUGCUGCCGAGGCCGCCUUAUGGGGAAUAAAUAAAUUCAUAGCCCCGCUCACCCCCGCGGCAGCGAGAGAAGCCGGCGGCGGCCGCGGGAUUAGAUCCAGCCCGAGCUAGAGACCAGACCAAAGUGUGCACUGGUGCUCCUGGGAGGGCCAGUGAUCUCUUCAUCCCAGAGGCACAUCGCACUCAUGCAGGCACACUGCUGCUGCUUUUCAAAUCAGAGGUGAACAAGAAAACUAAACAUAGAAAAAUAAUGUUUAGAGAGAGCACUUUUUUUUUUCUUUUCUUCUUCUUCUUUUUUUUUUUUUUUUUUUUUUUUCCAGAUGCCAGCCUGAACUUCUAAGCAAAGAAGAAAUCUUACUGAGAUUAUUCUUGCUUUUCCCCCAAAUGCCUUUCAGUAAACUGAGGGAUGUGGAUGCCUUGUGAAGGCAUCCAUUCCCGAUUCUGUGGUCUCUAUAAUAACCACUCGUGUCUCCAUAGUAACAUCCACCUGUGGCUCCAGUUACAUAUCAGAUAGCAAUGAAAGAGGUGCUUGCAGCUUCCCUUGCAGGAAUGGAGCCAUAAACUUAACUGCACACCAAUUGAGACAGUGAAAUAUUGCCUUGGCUCCCUCUAGAUGAACCAUGAUAUGAAAAUUGGUUCUUCAAGACAGAGGGGGGUAGACUGAUAUUUAAAGGAAACAGGAAACUGACAAGUAGUCCAAUAAAAGUGGUAGUGCUUUUAUUUAUACAUAUUAAAUUUGUGAAGAAUGCAUGAAUGAUUCCCUUCUUACUUUUAAAGACAGCAUUCUCCCCUUUUCUGCCAUGACUGCUGACUUUGGAUAUCAUGCUUGAGAAUGAGUGCUGAAUAUCUUCCACAUAAAAGGCAGACAAGAAAUUAUAUUUCAGAAGUUUCUAUAAUGUGUGCAAUUAAUUAUAGAACUAUAACUUCACAUAUCUGAAUAGCUCAGCUAACUUAGUUUGGAACACAGUCUUUCUAAUGUAAGUGACUUCAGAGCAAAAUAGAUCUUUGAGUAAGGCAAAUUAAGGCAAAUACUGGUAGCUGGAGAUUAUGGAUUUUUUUGUGUGUGUUUAUGUAUAUGAGUGAUUUCAGACAUGGGAUGGCCUAAGUCUCAAAUGGAGUCUCUGUGGGAAGUCUUGAUGGAUUGUAGAAAAUGAAUUUCCCACAUUUUGUGCAUAGUUGGUCAGAAGUGGUACUUUUCAUGUAAAUUGAUGAAGGAACAGUAGAUAUAAACUUUUGGGGAAGACUCUGAAAUAUUUCAAAGGGAAAUAUCAAAGCAGUUUUGAAGGAGAUUUCUUACUUAUGGGCAUGGAAGUUAAGACAGAGAGAAGAGCAGUCUUAGAAUCACAAGCUGAUUUGUUUAAGAAAUGUUAUUCUUUCAUUACUUUUCUUCCUUGGAUUUUGUUCACUAUUUUCUACAUUUUUAUUAUUUCUUCGUGCAUGUAUACUUAUUUUUCUGGUACCCAUUGGUUUUCUGUUCCUUCAUUUUAGGAAAACAAAUCCACUUUAUUAUCCCUUCUUUCUGGAGUAAUUUUUCUUGUCCUCUUUUUAUGACAAGCAUGUGGCUUUGCUUGCAGAAUCUCCUGGUUCUUGUUUGAAGAGGGAGAGUACAGCUCAC
rnacentral:lncRNA from 1 species